GUUCUAGACACUGGGGUCAAAGGCAGUGAAUAAAACAAAUUUGCAUUAAAUAGUUCAAGUUCUAGGGGAAGGAAGCAGACUGCUAACAAACACAUAAACGCAGACUACAUUAAGAAGUGAUAAGCACAGUGGAGAAAAAAGUCAGCAGAGUAGAGAUGAUAGCAUUGCUUGAUACUAUUAAUAGUUUAUAUAGAUUGCCUGGGAAGUACUUUCUGAGGAGGCUGGGGAGAAGUGAGGAGCUGGCCCUGUGGAUACCAUGGUGGAAAAGUGUCCAGGUAGGAGGAAGAGCAAGGCGUGAGGCCCUGAGGUGGGAACACGUUGGCACAUUGUAGAGCAGCCAGAAGGCAGGCAUGGCUGUAGCAGCAGCAGAAUAGGGAGGUUGGCAGGAGAGGAAGCCAAGGAGAAGUGAGUAGUCCAGUUCAUGGGGAACUUGUAGGGCAUGGAAUUCAUGUUGGGUUUUACCCCAGGUGAGAUGGGAGUCGUUGGAGGGCUUUGGGCAAAGCAGUGGCCACAGUGUGAUUCAGCAGGUUAAAAAAGAUCCUGCUGACUCCCACAUGAACAACAGUCUGAAGGGCAGCAAGGAUGGAAACAGGGAGACCAAUUGUUAAGAGGCUACUGCAACCAUUGAGGCAAGAAAGGAGCAUGGCUGCCUGAAGUGAUGAGAAGUGUCAGAUUCUGGAUCUAUUCCUCAGGAAAAGGCUUCAGGAUCUGCUGAUGGUUUGAAGUUGGGGUGUGAGCAGGAAGAGCCCCUGAUGACUCCAGGGCUAAGUAACUGGAAGAAUGAAGUUGCUAUGUCCAGAGAUGAAAAAAUCUCAGAGAGGAGCAGGUUAAUGAUAAUCAAGAUGUUUCUUUUUUCUUCUUUUUCUUCUUUUUAAUAGAGAUGGAGUCUCGCUCUGUUGCCUAGGCUGGAGUGCAGUGGUGCGAUCUCGGCUCACUGCCAACCUCCGCCUCCCAAGUUCAAGCGAUUCUCUUGCGUCAGCCUCCCGAGCAGCUGGGACUACAGGCACGUCACCACGUCCAGCUAUUUUUUUUUUUUUUCAGUAGAGAUGGGGUUUCGCCAUGUUGGCCAGGCUGUUCUCAAACUCGUGACCUCAGGUGGUCUGCUUGCUCCAGCCUCCCAAAGUGCUGGGUUACACCACACCCAGCCAGGAUGUUUCUCUUAAAUAUGUUACAUUUGAGGUGCAUACUGGAGCUCCCAUGGAGAGGGCAGGGAAGGUGGAAAGAGGCAAGUUGAAGAGAUUCUUUUGCCAUUCUUCAGAUUACAUGUUAUUUAAAGUCAUAGACCUCAGUCAAAAUCCCCAAGGGAUUAAAUGGAGGUAGAGAAGAGGACCAGUCCUUGGAGUGCUACAAUGCAUGGAGUUAGUAAGAGGAAGAGGACCCGGCAAGAAAGCUAUGAAGGAGGGGCUUGCUAAGUUAACCCUUGAACAACACGGAUCUGAACUGCAUGGGUCUGCUUCUGCCUCUGCCACUCCUGAGACAGCAAGACCAAGACCAACCAUUCUUCGUCCUCUUCCUCCUCAGCCUGCUCAAUGUGAAGAUGACAAGGAUGAAGUUCUUUACGAUGAUUUACUUCCACUUAAUAGUAAAUAUAUUUUCGUUAUAAUUUUCUUAAGGAAAUUCUUUUAUUUUACUUUAUUAUAUGAAUAUAGUAUAUAAUACGUAUAACAAAAAUAUGUGUUGACUAUGUUAUCAGUAAGGCUUCUGGUCACUAGUAGGCUAUCAGCAGUUACAUUUUUGGGGAGUUAAAAGUUAUACAUGGAUGUUCAACUGUGCAGGGGAGUCAGUGUUCCUCACUUCCAUGUGGUUCAAGGGUCAACUGUACAUAAGAAGUACGUGCAUGUGUGUAUUCCUUAUUAUUACAGCAUAGGAUGCAUAGUGCUGUGGUUUAAAAAAAAAAAAGGAUGAGAAAUGGCACACCUUAAAUUAGAAUGCCUGGUGGUCUUAUGAGAGAUUCCUGAUUUACAAACCUGGAACAUUCUGCUAUAAAAUGAUACAUAGGCGGCUCUAAACAACUCAUUUAUAUUGCCUUUUGGAUGAUUGUCA
rnacentral:lncRNA from 10 species